ACUGCGAGUGAAGCGGGAAAAGCUCAAAUUUAAAAUCUGGCGGUCCUUGUGGCCGUCCGAGUUGUAAUCUAGAGAAGUGCUAUCCGCGCUGGACCGUGUACAAGUCUCCUGGAACGGAGCGUCAUAGAGGGUGAGAAUCCCGUCUUUGACACGGACUACCAGGGCUUUGUGAUGUGCUCUCAAAGAGUCGAGUUGUUUGGGAAUGCAGCUCUAAAUGGGUGGUAAAUUCCAUCUAAAGCUAAAUAUUGGCGAGAGACCGAUAGCGAACAAGUACCGUGAGGGAAAGAUGAAAAGAACUUUGGAAAGAGAGUUAAACAGUACGUGAAAUUGUUGAAAGGGAAACGCUUGAAGUCAGUCGCGUUGGCCGGGGAUCAACCUUGCUCUUUUGCUUGGCGUACUUUCCGGUUGACGGGUCAGCAUCAAUUUUGACCGAUGGAUAAAGGUCAGGGGAAUGUGGCAUCUUCGGAUGUGUUAUAGCCCUUGGUCGCAUACAUCGGUUGGGAUUGAGGAACUCAGCACGCCGCAAGGCCGGGUCUUUGACCACGUACGUGCUUAGGAUGCUGGCAUAAUGGCUUUAAUCGACCCGUCUUGAAACACGGACCAAGGAGUCUAACAUGCCCGCGAGUGUUUGGGUGGAAAACCCGGACGCGUAAUGAAAGUGAAAGUUGAGAUCCCUGUCGUGGGGAGCAUCGACGCCCGGACCAGACCUUUUGUGACGGUCCCGCGGUAGAGCGUGUAUGUUGGGACCCGAAAGAUGGUGAACUAUGCCUGAAUAGGGUGAAGCCAGAGGAAACUCUGGUGGAGGCUCGUAGCGAUUCUGACGUGCAAAUCGAUCGU
rnacentral:rRNA from 1 species